rnacentral:rRNA from 1 species
CAGUCGCCACGGGAAUACGAAGGGGGCUAGCGUUGUUCGGAAUUACUGGGCGUAAAGCGCACGUAGGCGGAUAUUUAAGUCAGGGGUGAAAUCCCAGAGCUCAACUCUGGAACUGCCUUUGAUACUGGGUAUCUUGAGUAUGGAAGAGGUGAGUGGAAUUCCGAGUGUAGAGGUGAAAUUCGUAGAUAUUCGGAGGAACACCAGUGGCGAAGGCGGCUCACUGGUCCAUUACUGACGCUGAGGUGCGAAAGCGUGGGGAGCAAACAGGAUUAGAUACCCCGGUAGUCCCUGUCUCUUAUAC